rnacentral:rRNA from 1 species
GAUGAACGCUGGCGGCGUGCCUAACACAUGCAAGUCGAGCGUGAUUUAUGAGGACGAAACUUCGGUCUAGGAAUCAUAAUGAAAGCGGCGGACGGGUGAGUAACGCGUAGGCAACCUGCCCUUGACACAGGGAUAGCCUCGGGAAACCGGGAUUAAAACCUGAUGACGCCAAACAGUCACAUGGCUGUUUGGCCAAAGAUUUAUCGGUCAAGGAUGGGCCUGCGUCUGAUUAGUUAGUUGGUGGGGUAACGGCCUACCAAGACGACGAUCAGUAGCCGACCUGGGAGGGUGAUCGGCCACAUUGGAACUGAGACACGGUCCAAACUCCUACGGGAGGCAGCAGUGGGGAAUAUUGCACAAUGGGCGAAAGCCUGAUGCAGCAACGCCGCGUGAGCGAUGAAGGCCUUUGGGUCGUAAAGCUCUGUCCUUGGGGAAGAAACAAAUGACGGUACCCAAGGAGGAAGCCCCGGCUAACUACGUGCCAGCCGCCGCAGUAAAAC